UCCUUGAUGGUGUAGUGGUAGCACACGCCUCAGGCAUAGGUGAAACACAGGUUCAACUCCCGUGUGAGGUCAA